rnacentral:rRNA from 1 species
GACGAACGCUGGCGGCGUGCCUAAUACAUGCAAGUCGAACGCAGUGGGGAAGGGUGAGUAACACGUGGGUAACCUCCCAUCAGAGGGGAUAACACUUGGAAACAGGUGCUAAACCGAUACUGAUGGAUGGACCCGCGGUGCAUUAGCUAGGUGGUGAGGUAACGGCUCACCAAGGCCACGGUGCAUAGCGGACCUGAGAGGCUGAUCGGCCACACUGGGACUGAGACACGGCCCAGACUCCUACGGGAGGCAGCAGUGGGGAAUAUUGCACAAUGGGCGCAAGCCUGAUGCAGCCAUGCCGCGUGUAUGAAGAAGGCCUUAGGGUUGUAAAGUACUUUCAGCGGGGAGGCGUUACCCGCAGAAGAAGCACCGGCUAACUCCGUGCCAGCAGCCGCGGUAAUAC